AUGGCGGCGAAGAUGCUCAAGCUCCGUAGCGCCGACGGCAAGGUGCUCGUCGCUCCGGCGUGGGACUAUCGCCCGACCGCCGCCCAAGCCCUCCCGCUGGAGAUGCGGGUGCCCUCGCGCGCCCUCGAGAGGGUGCUCCAGUACUGGACCAAGCACAGCCUGGCCAAGGCCACCGGUGAGUCCCGGGAGUCCCUCGCCCGCUGGGACACCGACUUCCAGCGCCGUCUCGAGGAAGACGGCCUCGCCAAGGAGGCCGCUGCAGCCGCCCAAGAACUCCGCCGCUACGGCGUUCACCAUGGAGGGCGUCCCCGUCGCCACACCGCCACGGGCGCAUCUGAUGUCGCUGCUCCAGCCACCGCCACCCGUGCUGAUCCCGUCCGUGACUGGUGCCAACUCGUUCACCACCUCAAGGGUGUCAACCACGGAGAACCUAGCCCGGCGCCGACGGCGUCCAUCGCUUUCCAUGCCUCCGAUAUUACCGUCGCCGCGCGCCCUGGGCCUGCCACCACCUUGCCGGCCGCUGCUGGUACUGAACCCGUUGGUGUCCGGUACGCCAUCCGUGCCCGUGACGCCAGAUGGCUGAAGACGAGGAGUCCGCUUGCCACCACCGCAAGCGCCCGACUUCCAAGGCUGCCAAUGCUGCUGCGCCCGUGA
rnacentral:rRNA from 1 species